UAUUGAACAACGCAAAAAACACGUUCGUGUUUCUCACGUAAAUUGAUGCGAGGCGACGUCUCCGGACGGCUGCCCAGGACCACCGAUGCUCGAGGAACGAAACGGAGAAGAAAGCGCACAAUCUUGGGUGCGGUGCUUCCCUCUGCACCAUGGGGAGGAUCGCAAUGAUUGAACGUACAU
rfam:Stachybotrys chartarum IBT 40288 unplaced genomic scaffold scaffold987, whole genome shotgun sequence.